rnacentral:rRNA from 1 species
AUUGAACGCUGGCGGCACGCUUAACACAUGCAAGUCGAACGGCAGCACAAGGGGGUAACCCCUGGGUGCGAGUGGCGGACGGGUGAGUAACGCGUAGGGAUCUGCCUGUUAGAGGGGGAUAAGCCGGGGAAACUCGGUCUAAUACCGCAUACGCUCUACGGAGGAAAGGAUGGGAUCGCAAGACCAUUCACUAACAGAUGAACCUGCGUUAGAUUAGCUAGUUGGUAGGGUAAAGGCCUACCAAGGCGACGAUCUAUAGCUGGUCUGAGAGGAUGACCAGCCACACUGGAACUGAGAUACGGACCAGACUCCUACGGGAGGCUG